GGCUCAGAUUGAACGCUGGCGGCAUGCCUUACACAUGCAAGUCCGAACGGCAGCACGGGAGCUUGCUCCUGGUGGCGAGUGGCGAACGGGUGAGUAAUACAUCGGAACGUACCCUGAAGUGGGGGAUAACGUAGCGAAAGUUACGCUAAUACCGCAUAUUCUGUGAGCAGGAAAGAGGGGGAUCGCAAGACCUCUUGCUUUAGGAGCGGCCGAUGUCGGAUUAGCUAGUUGGUGAGGUAAAGGCUCACCAAGGCGACGAUCCGUAGCGGGUCUGAGAGGAUGAUCCGCCACACUGGGACUGAGACACGGCCCAGACUCCUACGGGAGGCAGCAGUGGGGAAUUUUGGACAAUGGGCGCAAGCCUGAUCCAGCCAUGCCGCGUGAGUGAAGAAGGCCUUCGGGUUGUAAAGCUCUUUCGGUGGGGAAGAAAUUGCACAGGAUAAUACCUUGUGUAGAUGACGGUACCCGCAUAAGAAGCACCGGCUAACUACGUG
rnacentral:rRNA from 1 species